ensembl:lncRNA
AUCUCAUGCAGAGUGGAGCCUAGUGAGCCAUACAGUCCAUGGGGUCGCAAAGAGUCAGACAUGACUGAGGCUGACACUUUUCCCCUCUGGCCAUGCCUCAGGCCACCUUUCUUUAUUCCUUCCUACAACAAAUGGUGACUCUGGCGGGGACUCUUCUUCCCUGAGACUGACAUCCUGACCACUUGGGGUACUCAGGGGCCAGCUUGCCUGCCAAUGGACCAGACCCAGUGGCCGCAACUGGGACCCUUUUGUCCCUGGUCUCCUCCUGAUGUGGACAACUGGCCAGAGUGCCCCGACCGAUGCAGCUGCAGCAGUCAGAGGGGUUUUGUUGAGUGAAGAUUAGCAUUCACAAAGAACCUGGAGAACUUGGCGGCGUCUAAACC